AACGAACGCUGGCGGCAUGCCUAACACAUGCAAGUCGAACGAGACCUUCGGGUCUAGUGGCGCACGGGUGCGUAACGCGUGGGAACCUGCCUUUAGGUUCGGAAUAACUCCCCGAAAGGGGUGCUAAUACCGGAUGAUGUCUUCGGACCAAAGAUUUAUCGCCUUUAGAUGGGCCCGCGUUGGAUUAGCUUGUUGGUGGGGUAACGGCUCACCAAGGCGACGAUCCAUAGCUGGUCUGAAAGGAUGAUCAGCCACACUGGGACUGAGACACGGCCCAGACUCCUACGGGAGGCAGCAGUGGGGAAUAUUGGACAAUGGGCGAAAGCCUGAUCCAGCAAUGCCGCGUGAGUGAUGAAGGCCUUAGGGUUGUAAAGCUCUUUUACCAGGGAUGAUAAUGACAGUACCUGGAGAAUAAGCUCCGGCUAACUCCGUGCCAGCCGCCGCGGUAAGAC
rnacentral:rRNA from 1 species